rnacentral:lncRNA from 1 species
UCGAUGAAUCAUGCUGAAUAUCUCAAAAUGAGAGCUGAGGCUAAAAUGGAAAGUAGAAACAGUGAGAAUCGAGCCAUGAUUAGUCCAGGUUUAACUAAUGGAAGAUCAAAGGACUUUUCUUUGCUGGACCCUGAAGAGAGAGUAACAGCUACUUCAUCCUUCACCGGUCAACAAAACUCUAGUUUUGGAAAUGUUGGAGUUGGUUUUCCUUGUGG